GGGGCUGUAGCUCAGUUUGGGAGAGCGCUUGCAUGGCAUGCAAGAGGUCGUCGGUUCGAUCCCGAUCAGCUCCA
rnacentral:tRNA from 1 species